rnacentral:rRNA from 1 species
GACGAACGCUGGCGGCGUGCCUAAUACAUGCAAGUAGAACGCUGAAGGAGGAGCUUGCUCUUCUGGAUGAGUUGCGAACGGGUGAGUAACGCGUAGGUAACCUGCCUGGUAGCGGGGGAUAACUAUUGGAAACGAUAGCUAAUACCGCAUAACAGUAGAUGUUGCAUGACAUUUACUUAAAAGGUGCAAUUGCAUCACUACCAGAUGGACCUGCGUUGUAUUAGCUAGUUGGUGGGGCAACGGCUCACCAAGGCGACGAUACAUAGCCGACCUGAGAGGGUGAUCGGCCACACUGGGACUGAGACACGGCCCAGACUCCUACGGGAGGCAGCAGUAGGGAAUCUUCGGCAAUGGACGGAAGUCUGACCGAGCAACGCCGCGUGAGUGAAGAAGGUUUUCGGAUCGUAAAGCUCUGUUGUAAGAGAAGAACGAGUGUGAGAGUGGAAAGUUCACACUGUGACGGUAUCUUACCAGAAAGGGACGGCUAACUACGUG